AUCAAAUCCCUAAUUGUGGUAGGUAUCAAAUCAAAUCCCGAUUCAAUUAGGUAAGUUCUCAUUUAAUUGGGGAUCGUGGUAAUUAACCAAAUCAAAUCUCAACCUAAUUAGGUAACGUUCAAUUUAAUUGGAUAAUUCCCAAUUAAAUUGAGUAACUCCUAAUUAGGUUGAUUGACUCCCAAUUUGGUCAAAUAAUCCCCAAAUGGUAGGAAUUAUUUGACCUAGGGUUUGAUUUAAUUAGGUUCCCACAUAUUCUGCUUGGGUCCUAUCAUGUCCUGCUUAUUGAGGGAAAACCUGAUCAUGCAGUCCGCGUUGGUUUUUUUUUUUUUUUUUGGGCAUUCCUCCUUGUGGGGACUUUUUCGUUCCGGCAGUUACUGCGGGCAUAGACUGCUGUAAAGAGCCAAAUGUGUGAAAAUUGCCCAUGGGUCUGAGUUCAAUAAUCAAACCCCAAGAAUGCUUCGAAAGGGUUGCUGAGCCUUAGGAAGCACAUUGGUUACCUUCACCAGCAAAACUAACAGUUGUUUACAGGUAGAUUCUUAGCUUGGUAUGAGAAACUUGUGGCAUGGAAGUAAAGUAGUCAUGAGUUUAGCAUUAAAGAGAGAGAGAACUGUGAGUUCCUAUAAGAAACAGGGGUUCUAAGGAUAAGGGGAAGGGAUUCUAAGCAGGUUUGUUAAAGAGAGAGAGAGAGAGAGAGAGAGAGAGAUGGGGGAAUAAUGGGUGUGUUGAGUAGUUUCCGGUAGCUUGACGGUGGCUAUGUCAAGCUCUGGAACAGUUUACCAGAAAAGAAAAUGGAAG
rnacentral:lncRNA from 1 species